GUGCUUAGCCCGGCAGUACAUACUAAUAAAUUGAAUCGAUACAGAGAAGAUUAGCAUGGCCCCUGCGAGAAAGGAUGACCGCAAAUUCGUAGAGCGUUUCCAUAUUUUU